UACGUAGGGCGCAAGCGUUGUCCGGAAUUAUUGGGCGUAAAGAGCUCGUAGGCGGUUUGUUGCGUCGGCUGUGAAAUCCCGAGGCUCAACCUCGGGUCUGCAGUCGAUACGAGCAAACUAGAGUGUUGCAGGGGAGACUGGAAUUCCUGGUGUAGCGGUGAAAUGCGCAGAUAUCAGGAGGAACACCGGUGGCGAAGGCGGCUUGCUGGGCCAGGUUCUGACGCUGGAGGAGCGAAAGCGUGGGGAGCGAACAGG
rnacentral:rRNA from 1 species